GCCAUCCUUGGGAUACCACCCUUGUAGUACUGGGACUCUAACCAUAGGCCAUGAAUCUGGUCUUGGGACACUGUCAGGUGGGCAGUUUGACUGGGGCGGUCGCCUCCCAAAAGGUAACGGAGGCGCUCAAAGGUUCUCUCAGUACGGUCGGAAAUCGUACGUAGAGUGUAAAGGCAAAAGAGAGCUUGAUUGCAAGACAUACAGGUCGAGCAAGGAUGAAAAUCGGACUUAGUGAUCCGGUGGUUCUGCGUGGAAGGGCCAUCGCUCAACGGAUAAAAGCUACCCUGGGGAUAACAGGCUUAUCUCCCCCAAGAGUCCACAUCGACGGGGAGGUUUGGCACCUCGAUGUCGGCUCAUCACAUCCUGGGGCUGUAGUAGGUCCCAAGGGUUGGGCUGUUCGCCCAUUACAGUGGUACGCGAGCUGGGUUCAGAACGUCGUGAGACAGUUCGGUCCCUAUCCGUCGCAGGCGUAGGCAAUUUGAGAAGACCUGUCCUUAGUACGAGAGGACCGGGAUGGACGUACCUCUGGUGUACC
rnacentral:rRNA from 1 species